GAUUUUUGUUCAUUAUUUUGUUCGACUUUUGUGAAUUAUUUUUGUUUGAUUUUUGUGAAAUAUUUAUGUUCGAAAAAUUUGAUCUGUCAAUUAUUUUUUUUUUGUUCGAAUUAGUUCGAUUUUUGCAAAUUAAUGUCAAUUUUUGAAUUUUUUUUUGAGUAUGUGUAUUCCAACAAUAGAUCUGUUGCUGCUAUGGCUAUUACUACAGCCUCUUCUACUCUGCCUACUGCCCCUCCUAUCUUCUUCAAGGUUAAUUUAUAUAUAUUUUGUAGUUGAAGGCAUUUGGUGAAUUUUAUGAAGAAAUUGAUAACAAGAGUGUCGUUUUGUCCACUUUCGAAACAAGAAACAUUGAGAUGAAAUGGAAGAGCAAUGCAAACAAACAUGAUUGUGGAGUAUUUUUGUUGAAGCACAUGGAAACCUAUGAAGGACAAUGUCAAAAACAAUGAAAUUCGGGGCUAGAGAAGGGUAAUUUUGAGCAAAUGAAAAGGUUAUGAGUGGAGUAUUGUGGGAAGAUUAUAACAUCAGAAGUAAAUGAAGAACGGAAAAGAGUGAUGAAGAUGGCUAGAAAGUGGUCAAAGCUGAACAAAAAUUGAUAUAUGAUUGUGUAAAUCUUAAGUUUAUAUCUUUAGACAUAUAUUUAAAACAAUAUAUAGUACAUUUUUUGUACAAAUAUGGAGAUGACUAUUUUGAACAUGGGUAUCAUUUGGAAUAUUAAUAUCAUUUGAAACAUUAACCUGAUUUGAAACAUUAUUUUUAUAAUGUUCUAAAGUAUUUCUGAUUUGGAAUAAGCUUAAGUUUUUCUUUCGUACAAUGAAGAAGGAAGAGGAAAGGAA